rnacentral:siRNA from 1 species
ACCCGGGUCUGUCGGCCAAAGUGU